UACGUAGGGGGUAAGCGUUGUCCGGAUUUAUUGGGCGUAAAGAGCGUGUAGGCGGCCAGGUAGGUCUGCUGUGAAAACUCGAGGCUUAACCUCGAGCUGUCGGCGGAAACCAUCUGGCUAGAGUCCGGAAGAGGAGAAUGGAAUUCCCGGUGUAGCGGUGAAAUGCGCAGAUAUCGGGAAGAACACCAGUGGCGAAGGCGGUUCUCUGGGACGGUGCUGACGCUGAGACGCGAAAGCGUGGGGAGCGAACAGG
rnacentral:rRNA from 1 species